rnacentral:sRNA from 1 species
GCCGGGCAUGGUGGUGCAUGCCUAUAAUCCCACAGCUCAGGAGGCUGACACAGGAGGAUCAGGAGUUCAAAGCCAGCCCCAGCAACUGUGUGGCGCUAGUGAUUCAUUGAGACCCUGUCUCUA